GGGAGGUUGCCCGAGUGGUUAAAGGGGGCGGAUUGUAAAUCCGCUGACAUUGUCUACAUAGGUUCGAAUCCUAUACCUCCCA
rnacentral:tRNA from 1 species